GGAUUUAUGAUGAGAUGUAACCUUGUCUGAAACUGAUGAUGAGUUGUGUAAUUAAGCAGGAUUACUCUGAGAUCC
rnacentral:snoRNA from 1 species